CAAUUGUCUCCCACUACGCAAAAGUUCUAAAAUGCUGACAGUGUCAGAGCUCGGAAUCCAAAACGUAGAGAACUGGGUAAAGGCAAACAUGACAUCAAAACACCAUCAAAGAUGAAACACUGAAACACUUCAAAAGAUGGAAGGUCCAAAUCAUAUAAAUACUCGAGCUUAAUAUAGUCUCGUAGACACGGAAUUAGAACCCGUGUCUCGUCAAUUUACCGCGAGCAGUAGAGUACUCACUGCUCUCUAUUAUGUGAAAAUUAGAGGUAGACACGGAAUUAGAACCCGUGUCUCGUCAAUUUACCGCGAGCAGUAGAGUACUCACCGCUCUCUAUUAUGUGAAAAUUAGAGGUAACAGUAAAUGCCAAAAAUUUAUUAAAAAAAAAAUAGAAACGAGAAAAUGACAAAAGUACCUGCCCAUUCCGUAAAACGCCGACGUCGUAAACCGGAGAGAGAUCCGGCUUGAACAACCCGAAAUUUCGCUCCGAAAUAGUCGGUUUCAGAUUCUCAUUGAACAAAGC